AGUGAACGCUGGCGGUAGGCCUAACACAUGCAAGUCGAACGGCAGCACAGUAAGAGCUUGCUCUUACGGGUGGCGAGUGGCGGACGGGUGAGGAAUACAUCGGAAUCUACUUUUUCGUGGGGGAUAACGUAGGGAAACUUACGCUAAUACCGCAUACGACCUACGGGUGAAAGCAGGGGAUCUUCGGACCUUGCGCGAUUGAAUGAGCCGAUGUCGGAUUAGCUAGUUGGCGGGGUAAAGGCCCACCAAGGCGCCGAUCCGUAGCUGGUCUGAGAGGAGGAUCAGCCACACUGGAGCGGAGACACAGUCCAGACUCCUACGAGAGGCAGCAGUGGGGAAUAUUGGACAAUGGGCGCAAGCCUGAUCCAGCCAUACCGCGUGGGUGAAGAAGGCCUUCGGGUUGUAAAGCCCUUUUGUUGGGAAAGAAAAGCAGCAGGUUAAUACCCCGCUGUUCUGACGGUACCCGAAGAAUAAGCACCGGCUAACUUCGUG
rnacentral:rRNA from 1 species